AGAGUUUGAUCAUGGCUCAGAUUGAACGCUGGCGGCAUGCCUUACACAUGCAAGUCGAACGGCAGUACGGGAGCUUGCUCCUGGUGGCGAGUGGCGAACGGGUGAGUAAUACAUCGGAACGUACCCUGAAGUGGGGGAUAACGUAGCGAAAGUUACGCUAAUACCGCAUAUUCUGUGAGCAGGAAAGAGGGGGAUCGCAAGACCUCUUGCUUUAGGUGCGGCCGAUGUCGGAUUAGCUAGUUGGUGAGGUAAAGGCUCACCAAGGCGACGAUCCGUAGCGGGUCUGAGAGGAUGAUCCGCCACACUGGGACUGAGACACGGCCCAGACUCCUACGGGAGGCAGCAGUGGGGAAUUUUGGACAAUGGGCGCAAGCCUGAUCCAGCCAUGCCGCGUGAGUGAAGAAGGCCUUCGGGUUGUAAAGCUCUUUCGGUGGGGAAGAAAUUGCUUCGGUUAAUACCUGGAGUAGAUGACGGUACCCGCAUAAGAAGCACCGGCUAACUACGUG
rnacentral:rRNA from 1 species